rnacentral:tRNA from 2 species
UCCGCAGAACCCGAGCACGGUGCACGGGCCUGGCUGUUAACCAGAGACUAGCUGAGUUCGAUUCUCAGAUGCGGAGCCA